UACCAGCACCCCGAGUGGUCGGGACGAUUAUUGGGCCUAAAGCAUCCGUAGCCGGUCAUGCAAGUCUUCCGUUAAAUCCAGCCGCUCAACGGUUGGGCUGCGGAGGAUACUACGUGGCUAGCAGGCGGGAGAGGCAAGCGGUACUCAGUGGGUAGGGGUAAAAUCCUUUGAUCCAUUGAAGACCACCAGUGGCGAAGGCGGCUUGCCAGAACGCGCUCGACGGUGAGGGAUGAAAGCUGGGGGAGCAAACCGG
rnacentral:rRNA from 1 species